AUUGAACGCUGGCGGCAUGCCUUACACAUGCAAGUCGAACGGCAGCACGGGUGCUUGCACCUGGUGGCGAGUGGCGAACGGGUGAGUAGUACAUCGGAACAUGUCCUGUAGUGGGGGAUAGCCCGGCGAAAGCCGGAUUAAUACCGCAUACGAUCCACGGAUGAAAGCGGGGGACCUUCGGGCCUCGCGCUAUAGGGUUGGCCGAUGGCUGAUUAGCUAGUUGGUGGGGUAAAGGCCUACCAAGGCGACGAUCAGUAGCUGGUCUGAGAGGACGACCAGCCACACUGGGACUGAGACACGGCCCAGACUCCUACGGGAGGCAGCAGUGGGGAAUUUUGGACAAUGGGCGAAAGCCUGAUCCAGCAAUGCCGCGUGUGUGAAGAAGGCCUUCGGGUUGUAAAGCACUUUUGUCCGGAAAGAAAUCCUUGACUCUAAUACAGUCGGGGGAUGACGGUACCGGAAGAAUAAGCACCGGCUAACUACGUG
rnacentral:rRNA from 1 species